UUUACUUUUUAUAUAAUUUUUCCUCAAAGCAUCGUCUCUUGUUCAAACAGAAUCACAAUACAAGCUUUGUGUAAGGCCAUAUGACAAUAAUAUGCUUUUUUUUAUUAUUAUUAUUAUUCUUCAGUUGUUUUCCAGGCAACACCUAAAAAAAAAGUAAAAAGAAAAACAAAAGUGCACUGAUAUUUUUGAGUAUAGUCAGCUGCUAAAAUGUGGUUUAAAAUUUGGUUUUGAAACUACACCAUACCUUAAGUAUUAAGGAGUGUCAUUUUAAAAUGCAACUAAAAACGUUUAAAGGGAUCAUAUUACACAUCUUUUCUGCUACCUAAUAUAGGUCAAAAGGUGUCGUAAAAACCAGAUCAUACAAUUUUCAGAGGGAGGAAAAAGCAAAACAAAAAC